UACGGGGGGGGCAAGCGUUGUUCGGAAUUACUGGGCGUAAAGGGCUCGUAGGCGGCCAACUAAGUCAGACGUGAAAUCCCCAGGCUCAACCUGGGAACUGCGUCUGAUACUGGAUGGCUUGAAUUCGGGAGAGGGAUGCAGAAUUCCAGGUGUAGCGGUGAAAUGCGUAGAUAUCUGGAGGAAUACCGGUGGCGAAGGCGGCAUCCUGGACCGAGAUUGACACUGAUGAGCGAAAGCUAGGGGAGCAAACGGG
rnacentral:rRNA from 1 species